AACACAGUGCAAAAAGGGGUGGAACUACAUUAUCUAACUAGUGGUGGGAAUUCCUUUUGACUAGCUAACUACUUUUUUUCAUUGGACCUAACUACCACCAUCCUCCGCAGGUUUGGGUUGCUGCCUCUCAGCAUGUCCAACGUGCGCAAAUCAAAGUCGGCCUCCAGGAGCUCAGAUGCUCAUCACCAGAUGCAGGCACCUCCGUCCUCCACAGCAAACAUUGAGGACAGCUUCCGGCCGGGCAGCCUAUUCAGACAGCUUGCUGAUCAGGACGAGGACACAGCCACUCCAUCUUUAUUCAAACUCAGCUGGCUGUCUGGCAUGGCCAAAUAACCCUUUAUUGCUCCAGACUUUAUUUGCCUUCGCAAAACUUUGUAAAAGUACUCUGUAUAGUAAAUAUAAUUUUGUCUUUUGAA